GUGAAUUUAAUAUAAUGUUAUAGUUCUGGGUAAUAUUUAUAAAUUUUGCAAAGUACGCAAGCUUUUAUAUAAUAUUCGAUUGGUCGGGGAAUAUUCGUUUUAACAGGGAAUAUUCGUACGAUGGCACAAUCAUUGGUGGACCCCACAACAGAAUUAUUGUCGGAUUGAGAAAACGACAAAAAUUUCUUUUUAUAACAAUAAUGGCGAAAGUUUUACCGUUAACUGUUGAAACACCCGGUGUUAAAAGUAUAGUAAUACGCGUGGUUGAAUA
rnacentral:lncRNA from 1 species